rnacentral:rRNA from 1 species
GAUGAACGCUAGCUACAGGCUUAACACAUGCAAGUCGAGGGGUCUUUUGGGGCUUGCUUCAAAAGACGACCGGCGCACGGGUGAGUAACGCGUAUCCAACCCGCCCUUCAUAUUGGGAUAGCCUCUCGAAAGGGAGAUUAAUACCGAAUAACAUGUCAUUGUUGCAUGAUAUUGACAUGAAAGUUCCGGCGAUGAAGGAUGGGGAUGCGUUCCAUUAGGUAGUAGGCGGGGUAACGGCCCACCUAGCCGACGAUGGAUAGGGGUUCUGAGAGGAAGGUCCCCCACACUGGAAAUGAGACACGGUCCAGACUCCUACGGGAGGCAGCAGUGAGGAAUAUUGGUCAAUGGACGCAAGUCGGAACCAGCCAAGUAGCGUGAAGGAUGACUGCCCUAUGGGUUGUAAACUUCUUUUAUACGGGAAUAAAAGACAUUACGUGUAGUGUUUUGCAUGUACCGUUAUGAAUAAGCAUCGGCUAAUUCCGUGCCAGCAGCCGCUGUAAAAC